rnacentral:tRNA from 1 species
GAGGGUAUAGCUCAGUGGUAGAACCCAUGCUUAGCAUGCACAAGGCCCUGGGCUCAAUCCCUAGUACCUCCA